UUUGCUUUAAAGAAGGCUGGACACAUUUGCACCACACACUUACAUGACACACUGAUACACACUUAAACUAAGACACACUUAUUCGCACCCUCUUUGAAAGACAACACUGACAUACUGACAUAUUGACUAGGAGAACAGCUGAAGCCAGAAGUCAAACGUCAUUUCCUGUUUCUUCCUGCAUCACUUUGGAAAAUCUCAGAAGACAACAUGCCUGAUGCUGCUCACAUGCUUUCAUAAGCUUGCUACAAUACUAUCGAUCCAAUUCCAGAUAUUUUCAUCUACGCUAAACUGAACUUUAUACUAUUUUUCAUUGUGUUUGUGAUGCCACCUGUGUGACAAUAAACUCACACGUAAUUUUCAAAUCAACCUGACUAUGAAUGAUCUUCAUUCAGAUACGCCCUUGAAGCUAUAAGAAUAUUAGUUAUUAAUUUAACGUUCUUACAGUGGCGAGCCAAAGAAAGUACUGUCUUAUCUCUAUUUUUACGGAAAUCUCGACCCUUGAUGAGGGGGGGAGAGAUUGGCGCAGUCUUUGCGAAUAUUCAAGUCUCGAGAAAAAAGACGGUUCAGAACCUAUCAAGCAAGAGGCGUUUGUGUCGCGUCAGAUGUGGACAACAGUCCAGUAACAGACGGUUGAUGACGAGAAAUCCUUCUAAUAACGAUAUGGCAUCUAAAAUCAAACAAAUAUGGAGGAUAACAAGCUUCUAUAAAGAGCAAAGAGAAAUUCAAAGUUAAAGAAGAGAUCCUUUUUGGAAGAAUAUUUGACAAAAGAUUUAUAUUUCAUAUUUAUGAACUAUUUUAUCUUAUUCAUCAAGGUUUUUCUAACCUAAUGGAACUUGAAGAAAUUUUAAAGACAUUUCAUGAAGAAACAUUAAUCGGAAGGAACUUUAUCUAUCUACUAUAGAUAAACAAUUUAGGACUGAAACAUUUGUUCACAUAUACAUAUAUAUUUUUUGAUUAUCCAAUUAUUAUGAUAUUAAUGUUCACAUGAAGUUAGGAUUAUUAUUUUUAUUUAUUUUUAUUUAUUCACAUAUUGAAUGUUAGCACACUCAUUCUAGUUAAUAGAACAUUUUUUGUUCAUAACUUAAGAAAGAUAUCAUUAAUAGAACUAUGGAAAGUUAUGAAAGUUUUAGAGUAUAAAGUAUAUUUCCAAAGAGCUAAAAUAUUAUUUGAGCACAUAUAUGGAAAUAUAUUAUUGCAUUAUUACUUAUUUUAAUAAUAAUAAUUUUCAUUAUUAUUAUUAUUAAUAAUUAUUGAUAUUAGUCAUCAUUAUGUUAUACAUUUUUAAAAUCUAUACCAUUAUUUCUGGUAAGAUUUUGAUUAGAUAGAUCUAAGAAGAGUUAAAAGUAAAGAGUAAAGCAUUUAGGAAAAGGAAAAUUUCUAGUUGCUUCAGUUCUGAGGAAUAUCGUGUCCAAUCGUUUGAUACAAGGUGGAGAAAAUGAGAUAUGAAUGUAUGUAUGUGAGUAUUAAAUGAUUUAGUAUGAUUAAUCAUAAUUCAGGGGGGAUUGUUAGAAUAUUAUUCCAAAUUCAUAAUUCGGCAAUUCAUGGCAAGCUUGCAAAACAUAUUUUGAUUUAUGAUUAAUCAUAAUAAUUAGGUAUGAAUGAAUGACCUUGAUCAAUUGAUAUGACAUAAUUCUUCUAUCCAAAACUGAGCAUUACGGAUAGCCAAUUUGAGAAUGACAUAAGAUUUGAAUGUCAGGCAGUUGUUCUACUAUGUCCAAAGUUGACAUGAGUUCAGGAGGUCAGCAGGCUAACAGAUAAGUAUACACAUAGAGUUCAUGUGUCAGAGCUGACAUGUUUUUACAUGCUUUAAAGUUAAAAUCAUAGAUAAUCCAUAACUUAGCUAUUUAUUUGAUAUUGUUGUUUAAUUAUUUAGAGUUAGUUUAAGUGAAGUCUUAGUCAUACUAAUAUGUAUUAGUAUAUAGUUACUUAAUGAAGUUAUAGCUUUAUAGCUGAUAAUAUAUGUUCUAUGACAUUGCAUCAUCAAGCACACUACUCUAAGUAUAGAGUGUCACAUGUGUGCCUGUCAAUCAAACUCCAUACGACUCUGUGCUAAGAUCUUCAUAUUGCUGAACCUAGCAGAUAUUAAUAUUUGCCAUACAAGGGUCUAAGCCUGGGCCGUAUGAGGUCAUGACGUUCACUUGUAACAUAUAUUUAAGCUUUGCUUUAAAGAAGGCUGGACACAUUUGCACCACACACUUACAUGACACACUGAUACACACUUAAACUAAGACACACUUAUUCGCACCCUCUUUGAAAGACAACACUGACAUACUGACAUAUUGACUAGGAGAACAGCUGAAGCCAGAAGUCAAACGUCAUUUCCUGUUUCUUCCUGCAUCACUUUGGAAAAUCUCAGAAGACAACAUGCCUGAUGCUGCUCACAUGCUUUCAUAAGCUUGCUACAAUACUAUCGAUCCAAUUCCAGAUAUUUUCAUCUACGCUAAACUGAACUUUAUACUAUUUUUCAUUGUGUUUGUGAUGCCACCUGUGUGACAAUAAACUCACACGUAAUUUUCAAAUCAA